UACGUAGGGGGCAAGCGUUGUCCGGAUUUAUUGGGCGUAAAGAGCGUGUAGGCGGCUUGUUAAGUCUUGCGUGAAAUCUCGGGGCUCAACCCCGAGCGGUCGUGAGAAACUGGCAGGCUAGAGUGCGGGAGAGGAGAGUGGAAUUCCCGGUGUAGCGGUGAAAUGCGCAGAUAUCGGGAAGAACACCCGUGGCGAAGGCGGCUCUCUGGGACGGUACUGACGCUGAGACGCGAAAGCGUGGGGAGCGAACAGG
rnacentral:rRNA from 1 species